rfam:Nomascus leucogenys chromosome 11, whole genome shotgun sequence.
GCCAGGCGUGGUGUCACACACCUGUAGUCCAAGCUCCUCGGGAGGAUGAAGCAGGAGGAUCGCUGGAGCCCAGUCGUUUUAGGCUGGAGUAUGUGUUCUGAUCCGGUGUCUUCACUAAACUCAACAUCAAUAUGGCUGACCUCCAGGGAGCCAGGGACCACCAGAUUUCCUAAGGACAGGUAUACUGGCCCAGGUCAGAAAUGGAGCAGGUCAGAACUCCCAUGCUGAUCAGUAAUGGACUCGGGCCUGUGAAUAGCCAAGCACUCCAGCAUGGGCAACACAGCAAGACCCUGUCUUUU